rnacentral:rRNA from 1 species
UACGUAGGGUGCGAGCGUUGUCCGGAAUUAUUGGACGUAAAGAGCUUGUAGGCGGUUUGUCGCGUCUGCUGUGAAAAUCCGGGGCUCAACUCCGGACUUGCAGUGGGUACGGGCAGGCUAGAGUGUGGUAGGGGAGACUGGAAUUCCUGGUGUAGCGGUGGAAUGCGCAGACAUCAGGAGGAACACCGAUGGCGAAGGCAGGUCUCUGGGCCACUACUGACGCUGAGAAGCGAAAGCAUGGGGAGCGAACAGG